rnacentral:lncRNA from 1 species
CCUUAACUCGUGGCUGGUGAGUUCCAUUUACAUCCCCAUCUUUGCAGGGGCCCAAAUAGGGACCGCAAAGACCAGGAUUACCCAAAAACGAAGUGUAAUUGAAAUAACUAAACUGACCAGUACCAGGGACCAAACCAGAAAGAUUGUUGUAAGAAAAAUCAACAGAAGUUAAGCUCUGCAUAGUGGCUAUAGGAGCAGGAAUGCUACCAACAAGAUGAUUUCUUGAGAGAUUCAGGUAAUUCAAGAUCCUCAUACCUGUAAUCUCAGUAGGAAUCUCACCUGAAAGCUCGUUUCUACUGAGAUCAACAAACG